rnacentral:rRNA from 1 species
GACGAACGCUGGCGGCGUGCUUAACACAUGCAAGUCGAGCGGUGCGGCGAACGGGCGAGUAACGCGUGAGUAAUUGCCCCCCUCCCUGGGAUAACAGUUGGCAACGGCUGCCAAUACCGGAUAGUGGGGGAUGACUCGCGUCCUAUCAGCUUGUCGGUGGGGUAGUGGCCUACCAAGGCGACGACGGGUAGCCGGCCUGAGAGGGCGACCGGCCACAUGGGGCUGAGAUACGGCCCAAACUCCUACGGGGGGCAGCAGUGGGGACUAUUACGCAAUGGGGGAAACCCUAAGGCAGCGACGCCGCGUGCGGAAUGACGGCCUUCGGGUUGUAAACCGCUUUCAGCCAUGACGCGGUAGUGGCAGAAGAAGCACCGGCUAACUACGUGCCAGCAGCCGCGGUAAUUC